CCCCGGGCUGUGCCGGCCUGCGGGGCGCUCUGCACGCGGAGCUCUCCUCAGGGGGCUGCCGGUGCCUUUCCUCCUUCGUGUUUGAACUUUUUUACCUUUUCUUCGCGACGUUGGCUCAUGCAGGCUGCUAUGGGAGGGGGGUGCGUGGUGACCGCCUGCGCUUCGGUCACUGAAAGGCAAAGGGGAACAACGAGAGGAAGGCAAAACCGAGUGCAAAUUUCCACCGGCGUGUGUCAGCGCGUACAGAAAGCUGAAAAACUUCCGCAGCGGUGCUGCCGGAUCGCGGUAUGACAUUUCCUCUGGAGAAACAGCAAGCAGAAGAUGAGAAAGCCCCGCUUUGUGCGUGUGGUGACAGAAUGAUGGCGGGGUGUUCGCAUCGCUGAGCUGCGGCACAGAAACGCGGCAGGCAUUGCUGGAGGGCUCGUUAUGACACUGCCGGGUAAUCUCUUGUGGCUUUUCCAGUAAGGUGGAUUUGUGGACGAUUCAUCUCUUUUCUCUCAUGGGUUUGAAUUUUCUGUCAUGUGUGGUGACAUUAAUAGUAUGUCACAUUUGGAACGUAUAGCUGCAGUCAGGUAGUGCUAAAACACCAUUCAUUACAUUUCACUGAACUCCAGACAUAGAAAAGCUUCUCAUUUCAGCAGUUAAUUCAGACAGAGCUUUUUAAAAGUAAUUUUUUUAUCAGAUCUCCGAGGUGACACCUUAAGGAAGCUUCUGACAUUCAGAAGACAACACUGUUGGUGGAAAAAUGGAGCUAGAUCCAGAAGUGCCAUAUCUGAAGGAGGAUCGGGUGUGGGAUUUCACAUCAGUUGGACACAGGGAGUUCAGUAUCACAGAAGGACCUGAGCUCUGACUGAAAUUCAUGAGGUGUGAUUAAUUAUCAGCAGCAUCCUAAGUCUGGAUUCAGCAUCAGGCAAGGAAACUCCAAAGGCAGGGAGAGAAGCACAGCAAUGCUUCAGACAAACACAAGCUGACAGCAGUAGGCUUCAGCUUGGUUCUGAGCCUGUGGUACAACAUGAUGGGGCUGUCCCUUUCACCUCAGACUGAUGCCUCAGACAUCAAAGGUCACAGUUGGACUGAUAAACAAGAUGCUUUACUCUGCAGAUUCUUUGCUCUGGAGAAGGGGAAGAAAGGCUGAUAAAGCCCUCCUCAACUAAAGAGAAGGCUUUGCUUUCUGAGCAAGUCACAUGCACUCAUAGAGGUCAGAGUGCUAAUAAAAGCGUGACUGCCACGUUACCAGUGCUUGCGAAAAUAAACCUAAUGACAGUGUUGACUGAAAUAGCGAAGGUGAUAUAGCUGGUUUUUGGAGGCGGAACACAGUGACCCUGCAGCAUAUGUGCAUUAAGAAUGCCAGCAAUGAGUAGGUUGGGCAGCCCAAGAAGUAUCUGAUAGAACUGCACAUCCAGAAAUACUCUCCAGGUGGCCUGAUGAAUGUAAAUCUCCCCACGCUGUGAUUCUUCUAUGGUCUGUUCUCCAGUUUAUUGUUUCCACAGCGCUAAGACAUCUUCCUGUAAUGGUGCCUCUGUCACACACCCCUAAACGGCUCUGAAGAGAAGAAGGUGAAAAGACAGUGUUGUUUGCCUUUCCCAUUGCUACUGCUUUUCUCUCCAUUACAUUUAAUCUUCCGUUUAAGUACUGGAAGGCUGCAAUGUGGUCUCCCUGGAACCUUCUCCAGGCUGAACGUGUUUAGCUGUCUCAGCCCUUUAUAGGAGAGAUGCUUCAGCCCUCUGAUCAUCUUCAUGGUCUGCUUCUGGACCCACUCCAACAGAUCUGCAUCCUUCCUGUGCUGGGGUCCCCAGAUCUGGACACAGUACUCCCGAUGUGACUUCACAAGGGCUGAGCAGGGGGGACAGUCACCUCCCUCUUCCUGCUGAUCACCAUCUUUUGAUGCAGCCCAGGAUAGAGUUGGCCUUCUGAACUGCCAGUGCUCACUGCUGGCUCAUGUCCAUCUGUUCAUCCACCAGAAUCCCCAAGUCCUUCUUGGCAGAGCUGCUCUCAAUGAGUUCUCCCAGUCUGUACACACAUCAGGGAUUGCACUAACCCAGAUACAGCAUCUUGCACUUGGCCUUAUUGAACACCACUCUCAAGAUGGAAACUUAUCUGCACGCUCCGUGGGAUCCAAUGCCCUCCUGACAUCCCUGUUUGGGGAAGCAAAGCUGGAAAAUAACCAGAGCAAGAGGAAGACACCUUUUUGUAGCAAAGACCACUGUCACCAAUUUAAGCAACAGGCAUCCACCCCGGCCUCAGUCUUUGGUAAUAGCCAUGAAGACCAUGAAUCCCAAGCAACAAAGAUGCAUUUGUGAAGAGUGAAUCACGGGAUCUCGGUUACCCAUUUCCCAUGUCAGGAGAGUUCUGAUAUUCAGGCUCUUUAAUCUAUUUAUCUAUUCUUUGCCAUUCCCUACCAAUAAUCCUCCUAUGGGAUCCCAGCCCACCCACACGAAGAGCCACAAUUCAGGACAUUAAUGUACCCAUCCCCUGCAAUCGGGGGAGUGAGCCCACCAUCAGUGGUCCUGCUGUAACACUCUGGGCAGCAAAGAAAAUGCAACCUUAGUCCCACAGCCAGCUGCAAAGGAUGCAGAAGAAUUAUUCCUGCAGGAACAUUUGGGAUGUCCUUGAAGAGGCAGCACAUCCUGAAGAACAGGUUCCUUUAUGGCUGCUGGGACAUCAGACUACAUAAACUCAGUCUUUCUAAAUGCACCAGGCUUCACGUGCUGCACAGAGCCCAGGGCAUUUCAGCAUCUCACACUGCCCUGCCAGUGAGCAGCUGAGGGUCACAAGGAGCUGGGAACGGGCAGAACUGGGACAGCUGACUCAAAAUGAUCAAAGGGAUAUCCCAUACCGAAUGGCAUCAUGCUGAGCAAUGAAAGCUGGGGUAAACAAAGAGGAAGGAGGUGUCAUGGGAGUGAUGACAUUUGUCUUCCCUAGAAACCACUAGAAGUGAGUCCUGCUUUCCUGGGAGUGGCUGAACAUCUGCCUGCUGAUGGGAAGUACCAACUGAAUUCCUUGCUUUGCUUUGCUUCUAUGCACACCUUUUGCUUUACAUGGUAAACUAUAUUUCUUUAUCUCAACCCCCAGAUUCUCUCAAUUCUGCAGUUUCUGAUCCUCUCCCCCGUCCCGUUGGGGCAGAGUCAGCAAGCAGCUGUGUGCCUGCUGGCUUAAACCAAGUUGCCCAGAGAGCGUGUGGAUGCCCCAUCCCCGGAGGUGUUAAAGGCCUGGUUCAAUGGGGCCCUGGGCAGUCUGAUUUAGU
ensembl:lncRNA